rnacentral:lncRNA from 1 species
GGAGUUUUGAUUACUGGAUCGGCCUGCACAGAGAGUCCUCAGAGCACCCUUGGAAGUGGACAGACAACACUCAGUAUAACUACUCACAGAGCCUCAGAUGGGGAGCCGGGACUCUGAAAUCCCAGAAAGCCACUGCAGAACUGCAAGCCUGAGAUUCUGAUGUCCACUAUUUGCAUGGCUGCACCUGUUCAGGAAAGCAGAGAUUCUAAGGACAUUCGGAACCUCCUCUAAAGUCUCGUCAUCACAGAGCACCCAAAACAGUCCUCGAAUCACAGGCCCAGUCCCAUCCACCGUUAAAGCACCUUUGAGCAAUUUACUAAGAAGUGCGUGUUCCCAUGUGUAAAAUGAAUAAAAACAGAAUUGGAAAA